UGGCGGCACUAGCGCGGUGGUCCCACCUGACCCCAUGCCGAACUCAGAAGUGAAACGCCGUAGCGCCGAUGGUAGUGUGGGGUCUCCCCAUGUGAGAGUAGGGAAUCGCCAGGCA
rnacentral:rRNA from 2 species